UACGUAGGGGGCGAGCGUUGUCCGGAUUUAUUGGGCGUAAAGAGCGUGUAGGCGGUUCGGUAAGUCUGUCGUGAAAUCCUGAGGCUCAACCUCGGGCGUGCGAUGGAUACUGCCGGGCUAGAGGAUGGUAGAGGCGAGUGGAAUUCCCGGUGUAGCGGUGAAAUGCGCAGAGAUCGGGAGGAACACCAGUGGCGAAGGCGGCUACCUGGACCAGCACUGACACUGAGGCACGAAAGCGUGGGGAGCAAACAGG
rnacentral:rRNA from 1 species